rnacentral:rRNA from 1 species
GGUCUGGUGGUCAGAGCGGGGUGAUCGCAAACCCGAUCCCAUCUCGAACUCGGCCGUUAACUGCCCCAGCGCCUAUGGUACUGUGUCUCAAGACACGGGAGAGUCGGUCACCGCCAGACCU